CCUGGAUCCUUCUGCCAUGGGUCUAUCCACAAUGGCCUUUUCGAAGGGUUCAUCCGAACCAAGAACGGCACUUAUUACGUGGAGUCUGCCGGAGCGUGCACCAGCACCCACACCUCUCCAGGUCACUCUCUGAUCCAUCAUGAACGUGACAUAGAUUAUUCCUUGUUGGACGAUCCAGACUCUGCUGCCUUGACUGAGAGAGCACAUCAGAUCCUGCAACAUUUCCAGCAGGAGCUAAAGUUAAAGGGGGAAACCCUGGAGAGAGAGAAGAGGAGUUUGGAUUAUUCUAGGACAUCCUGCCUGCUGCAUCUGCAAGUUGAUUACUUGUUCUACCAAAGAUUUGGCACCACAGAGGCAGUGGUU